GAGUUCAGUGACUAAGUGGGUUCUUG
rnacentral:piRNA from 1 species